CCUUAUCAUUCUCUCGCCCCGUGUGCAUUGAAGACAACUGGACGGAGAACUGAUAAGGGC
rnacentral:pre_miRNA from 1 species